CCUACGGGAGGCAGCAGUGAGGAAUAUUGGUCAAUGGGCGCGAGCCUGAACCAGCCAAGUAGCGUGAGGGAUGACUGCCCUAUGGGUUGUAAACUUCUUUUAUAAAGGAAUAAAGUGAGGCACGUGUGCUUUUUUGUAUGUACUUUAUGAAUAAGGAUCGGCUAACUCCGUGCCAGCAGCCGCGGUAAUACGGAGGAUCCGAGCGUUAUCCGGAUUUAUUGGGUUUAAAGGGCUCGUAGAGGGGUUUUUAAGUCAGUUGUGAAAGUUUGCGGCUCAAACGUAACAUUGCAAUUGAAACUGGCAGGCUUGAGGACAGUUGAGGUAGGCGGAAUUCGUGGGGGAGUGGGGAAAUGCUUAGAUAUCA
rnacentral:rRNA from 1 species